UGGUCAUGAUAGUCAGGUAUCCCAUUCAUAU
rnacentral:piRNA from 1 species